UCGCGCUCCAGCGUCAUCCUCGUCCUUGCUGCCAUCGUCCUCACGCUUCCCCCGACCCCAUCGACACAUGUUCCCUACCACCGCGCCGGGGUCGCAGCCACCGAUAGACCGACCCCGAGAUCCUUCUGUCCUCCGCCCCCAACCCCAAUCCACGUCCCUGUGUCCCCGACCCCAUCCCCUCCUUCCUUCCUUGGAGUCACACAGCCGCUGACAGAGGCAGGAUCGCAAUAACUACGUCGGAGGCUGCCAUCUGCAAGCGCCAGCAUCGCCAUAACUACGGAAGCACCUCCGGCUGGAGGGAGUGUGCGUUGCUAGGACCAUUAAAUAGUCAGAUGCGAGCCAUAUAUUUGAUAUUAAGCAAGUUGUCUGAGGAUGUUCAUUACCCACCUAAUUUGAGCUCCCAGUUUACAUAUGCAGGCCUUGAUUUCCCUAGGUACCCUGUCGCUGUUUCUGUUGGGUAUAUGAUAAUUCCACAGGUGCCAUAUAAUAAUGUUGUGAACUAUGGACCUAAUGGGUAUGCUGGUGGUGGUGGUGGCCGGUACCAAAACAACAAGGGUGGUUGAUACAUGUCUUCACACUUUUUAGAGCAACAUGCAGUGGAAGAAGCAGCCUAUGAACUGGAAUAAUUUGCAUAAGAAAUAGGCGAUCUACUCAGCCACCUACUGCGCAUGGAUGUGAUGACUUCAGAGUGUUCCGCAGCAUUUGGCUGUUUCGAGUAUUUUGGACCAGCCAACUUGUGAUCAUGAAUCUUAUGUGUGUUCUGGACCAUUUGCUACUUCAAGUGUUUUGGAGCAUAUAUCUUGUGCUCAUGGGUGUGAUUUAAGUGUUUUGGACCAUUUAGUGGUUGAACACAUUUAGAACAGUAAAUAGUGGUCCUUUU